rnacentral:rRNA from 1 species
UACGAAGGGGGCUAGCGUUGUUCGGAAUUACUGGGCGUAAAGCGCACGUAGGCGGAUUGUUAAGUCGGGGGUGAAAUCCUGAGGCUCAACCUCAGAACUGCCUUCGAUACUGGCAAUCUCGAGUCCGGAAGAGGUUGGUGGAACAGCUAGUGUAGAGGUGAAAUUCGUAGAUAUUGGGAAGAACACCAGUGGCGAAGGCGGCUAUCUGGACGGUUUCUGACACUAAGACUCGAAAGCGUGGGGAGCAAACAGG